UUUGAGAAGUGAAGCAAAGUUUAUAGGAUAAAAAGAAAUUGUGCAAUAAUUGUUUAAAAAAAUUAGGCAGGUGUAUAAAAAAGAAACUAAUUCAAUAUUUAGUAGAUCCUCUUUUUGCAGAAAUAACAGCCCCUAAAUGCGUCCUAUAUCUUCCAAUGAGAGUCUGGAUUCUGGUUGAAGGUAUUUUGGACCAUUUUUCUUCACAAAACAUCUCUAGUUCAUUCAGGUUUGAUGCUUCUGAGCAUGGACAGGUCUUCUUAACUCACACCACAGAUUGUCAAUAAUAUUCAGGUCUGGAGACCAAGAUGGCCAUUCCAGAACGUUCUACUUGUUCCUCUGCAUGAACGCCUUAGCAGACUGUGAGCAGUGUUUAGGGUAGUUGUCUUGUUGAAACAUCCAGCCCCGGUGCAGCUUCAGUGUUGUCAUUGAUACCUGGACAUUGGUCUCCAGAAUCUGCUGAUAUUGAGUGGAAUCCAUGUGUCCCUCAACUUUAACAAGAUUCCCAGUCCCUGCACUGGCCACACAGCCCACAGCAUGAUGGAACCACCACCGUGUUCUACUGUAGGUAGCAGGUGUUUUUCUUAGAGUGAUGUGUUCCUUUUCCUCAGUUUUAGUUUCAUCAGUCCAACACCUUAUUCCAGAAUGAAGUUGGCUUGUCCAGAGGUGCUUUAGCAAACCUCAGCCGGCUCUGUUUGUGCUGUGAGCGAAGAAAAGGCUUCUUCUGCAUCCUUCUCACAUACAGCAUCUCCUUGUGUAAAGUGCGCCCAAUAGUUGAACGAUGCACAGUGACUCCAUCUGCAGCAAGAUGUUGUAGGUCUCUGGUGCUGGUCUGUGGGCUGACUCUGACUGUUCUUACCAUUCUUUGCUUCUGUUUACCAGAGACUUUCCUUGGUCUGCCACUUCGAGCCUUAACUUGAACUGAGCCUGUGGUCUUCCAUUUCCUCAAUAAGCUCCUAACUGUGGAAACAGCUGAAAUCUCUGAGACAGCUUUCUGUAUCCUGCCCCUAAACCAUGAUGGUGAACAAUCUGUUUUCAGCUCAUGUGAGAGUUGUUCUGAGGUUGCUACUCUUCAGAGGAACUUUAAAGCGGAAGAAACUUAUAAUUAGCCCCCUUAAAUAUUCUUCCACAUAACUGGAUUCACCUGUGCAUGGAGGCCAAGGGUCACUGAGCUUACCAAACUAAUACUGAGUUCCAAUAAUUAGUUCUAAAUGUUUUGGAAUCAAUAUGACAACAGUGCCCAAAUGUAUACACCUGUCUGAUUUUGUUUAAACAAUUAUUGCACACUUUCUGUAAGUCCUAUAAACUUUUUCUCACUUCUCAAAUAUCACUGUGUGUGUCUUCUAUAUGAUUUAUUUAACUGAAAUGUUUUAUCGUAAAAAGCAAAGAUUUAUACUGGAAAAUCAUAAAGACUAACAAGGGUGCCCAAACAUUUGCAUCCCAAUGUAUCUGCCAUAGAAUACAUUUCUGCAGGAAUAAUCAUGUUAUGUGUAUGUUGAUGCAUUAGGGAAGAAUAACUCAAAGGGACUAUAAGGACGUUUGACAGUCAAAACAUGUAUAGAAAUAAUACAUUUCUUCAUUUCAUCAUUUUUGCUGGAAAGGUAAGAAAUUAUUACUAAACGCGUGUAGGGAAAGGGCUGUGGAUGCUUUCAAAGCAAGCUGGGGGCUUUCCGUAUAUCAUAGUAGUAACAUUUAUAGGCUGCUUGUCUAGCGUGUCUACUCAUCACAGUAUAUUUGUGUAAUUUACUAGAAUUGUGUAAAACAGUCUAAACUUUGUAAAACUACAUCGCUAAUCAAAUCAAGUGUUUAUAUAACUGACUCUCAUUUGUAAACAUGUGCACAUUACGACUGGAGUAUUAAAAGUUGCUUUAUUGUUUCAGUUAUGAGAAGCACGCUUUAUCAAAGGGACCACUAACAUCGACACCACGUGGGCCAUCUACAGCAGUGUUUGCAGGGCCCCGUCACCCCAGUUCAGUAACUGCAGGGGAAUCUGAUAGAUCAAGGGGUAGAAUUGUUGGAGGAAAGCAUCAAACUGAUGGAGCUGAAAGGACUAUUUAGACGAGGAAAGAGCCAAUAGUUUGGAAAACAGUUUAUUAGAGUUUGAAGGAGAAGGAGCUUUAGACCCGUAUGACUCAGAUUAUGUACCUCCAAUAUCAAUAAGGUAUGUUUCAUAAUUGGCUUUUUUAAAUACAUAGUAACAUCUCCACUCUCACUUUCUAUUCACUGAUUAUAUAAAAAAAAUCUUGUGCAAUAGGUGUGCCUCACAGGAUGAAGUUGACCAACUUCCUAGCAUUGGCCUGGAUGAUGCUGUAUUUGACAUUGUUGAUUGUGUGGAGGCAGAUUUGGAAGAGAAUUUAGAAGAGCCAUCCAUCCAUCCAUUGUCUGAACCCGCUUUGUCCACGUAGGGUUGCGGAGGGAGCUGGUGUCUAUCUCCAGUGGUCAAUGGGCAAUCAGGCAGGGUACACCCUGGACUGAGAGCCAGUCCAUCGCAGGGCAACACAGAGACACACAGGACACACACACACACACACACACACACACACACACACACUCACACCUAAGGACAAUUUAGACAGACCAAUUAACCUAACAGUUAUGUUUUUGGACUGUGGGAGGAAGCCGGAGUACCCGGAGAGAACCCACGCAUGCACAGGGAGAACAUGCAAACUCCAUGCAGAAAGAUCCCAGGCUGGGAGGCGAACCCAGGGCCUUAUUGCUGCAAGGCAACAGCUCUAACCACUGCGCCACUGCGCAGCCGCAUUUAGAAGAACCAUCAGCAGCAUCCAUUCCAAUUUUCCCAAUACAUGAUCAAGUGCUUGUUGA